rnacentral:lncRNA from 1 species
UCACUUCUCAGUAAGCCUGAUCACCCUACCAGUUUCUGAAAAUGGGCCUCACUGAAAGUUGUGUAGCCCUCAUACCUGGAAUCUGGGCUGCCCUGAGAAUUUGUUAUUAACCAAUAGAAUGUAUCAAGUGUGACAGUCCAGAACUUUUGAGGCUAUAUCAGAGGAAGUUUCUUAAAAUACUAACUCUCAGUAUGGUCACUGACAGUACACUCUCUCAGAACCCAGCCUCCACGCUGUGAUGCCAAAGUCACAUGGAAAGGCCACUUGUAGACACUUUGGUUAAUAACCUCAGCUGAGGUUCAGCUGCUGGCCAUCUUGGGCCUCCAGCCCAGAUGAAAGCCCUGGCUAAUCUCUUUCUGCAAACACAUGAAAAACCCAAGUGAGAACCAACUGGCUGAGCCAAGUUAAAGCACAAUACUAUAAAGAUAAUAAUACAUUAUUUUAAGCCACUUAGUUUUCAAGUAGUUUAUAAUUAAGGAUGACUUAGAUAUUUCUUGCUUAAUUUCCCUUAAUUCCCAUAUUCCUUGCUUAAUUUCAAAUCUUCUAUGCUACAUUUUCCUUUCCCCCCGAGCAUUUAUUAUUCUUUAAUAUACUGUAUGAUUUACUACUUUGUUAGUUUAAGGGUUUAUUUUUUAACUUGGUUGUAUUCACUAGAUUAAAAACUCCGAGAAGAUGCAUAUCAUUGUCUUUUUUUUUCCUCCAAGAUAUGCCAUAAUUGUCUACAACAGUAUGCCUGAUAUACAAUAGGGAUUCAAUAAAUAUUUGUAGAAAGAAUAAAUGCACAAAGCAGUAGUCUAUCAUAAAAUUUAAAUAAGAAUCAUUCUAGAGAUGAUUACAACUUCACCUUAAAUGUGGCACAUUCCUAAAACCAAAAUGCUGAAUUAAGAUAUCAACAAAUAUCAUAGUGUCUUCUAAGUUAGGGACUUGUAAAUAGAAAAUUGAAAGGUAGCUAUUAGGAAAAAUACAAGCUACAUGAAAUUACUUUUAUAUUAGACCACUAUAUGACUCUUAGUAGCGAUUUUAUAUUACUAUAAAAUUUUAUGGAGUCAUAAUGAACAAAAUAAUUAAGAAUUUUUGUUCAAAAAGCAAAACAAGGUAUAUUUCUCCAUCUAUUAGUGUCCUCUUUGAUUUCUUUCAUC